GGCAACCUGCCUGUAAGACUGGGAUAACUUCGGGAAACCGAAGCUAAUACCGGAUAGGAUCUUCUCCUUCAUGGGAGAUGAUUGAAAGAUGGUUUCGGCUAUCACUUACAGAUGGGCCCGCGGUGCAUUAGCUAGUUGGUGAGGUAACGGCUCACCAAGGCAACGAUGCAUAGCCGACCUGAGAGGGUGAUCGGCCACACUGGGACUGAGACACGGCCCAGACUCCUACGGGAGGCAGCAGUAGGGAAUCCUCCGCAAUGGACGAAAGUCUGACGGAGCAACGCCGCGUGAGUGAUGAAGGCUUUCGGGUCGUAAAACUCUGUUGUUAGGGAAGAACAAGUACGAGAGUAACUGCUCGUACCUUGACGGUACCUUAUUAGAAAGCCACGGCUAACUACGUGCCAGCAGCCGCGGUAAUACGUAGGUGGCAAGCGUUGUCCGGAAUUAUUGGGCGUAAAGCGCGCGCAGGUGGUUUCUUAAGUCUGAUGUGAAAGCCCACGGCUCAACCGUGGAGGGUCA
rnacentral:rRNA from 1 species